UGCCAUUCGCCAUCAUGAAAGGUAAAGCCUGCCCGGUGGAAUCUUAACGGCUGCGGUAUCUUGACCGUACUAAGGUAGCAUAAUCACUUGUCCCCUCAUUAGGGACUAGAAUCAAUGGCCAAACGAGAGCUUAACUGUCUCAUCUGUAAACAUACAAACUUACUUCCAAGUGAAAAGGCUUGGAUAAACCAGGAGGACAAGAAGACCCUAUGGAGCUUUAGAGAAAAAGUCCACAAACAUCCACCACUCGUGAAACGAUUUAAGGACCAAUCACUUUAGUUGGGGCAACUGAAGUUCAUACAAACCACUUCCAUAAGAAAUGCUGAUAAGCAAGACCAUGAAAUAAGAAGAUCCUACAGUUAAGAUCAGGAAAAUAAGUUACCCUAGGGAUAACAGCGUAAUCCUCCCAGAGAGCCCUCAUCGAAGGGAGGGGUUGCGACCUCGAUGUUGGACUAGGACAUCCCACAGGUGCAGAAGCUUGUAACGGUGAGCCUGUUCGGCUCUUAAAGUCCUACAU
rnacentral:rRNA from 1 species